UUAAGAUGAAACUCUCAAAUUUAGAUCAUAAGAGUUAGACACAAGACGACAAAAAACCCCCUUUCUUUGCCAUUUUUCGUAGUCUUCUGCUUUGUUUCCUUCUUCGUCCUUUUUUUAAUUUGGCGUACUGCAAACGUGAAUCGUUUUAAGUAAAUUACAUGUCAAAUUAUUUAGUCCCUUAUCUUAUUCACAGGUCUGAUAGGUUCAUUCCAUCGUAGAAAAGUUGUAUGCUUCCACAAUGAUAACAAUGGUUAGAGACUUGCAGUGUUAACUACUGCUGAGGCUGCAGGAAUGACUGUAUUGAAGACAGGGAGACUGGUGGUACUGUUUGCUGAAGCUGCCUCAACAGUGUAAUCAUGCUACUAGCAAUCUGCUCUGUCGGCUAUUGAACAACGUUGAUAGUGAACAACCUUGGCUUCAAUCAGGUCCAACUCAAUUUUGUUCAAGUGGUGUAUGGAUCAGAUUGUUGAGUGCACUUCGAGUAAUUCCACCGAGUAUACUUAUCCAGGUAAGUUCUCAAAAACAUAGCAAUUCUCAAACACAAUGCAAUAUGCGCCUCAUGAUGCAAUUCUCAGGGAUAAUGCAAUUGCUCAGGUGCAUCAUGCAAAUUCUCAGGUAUUAUCCAAUUUCUUAGGCAUAAUGCAAUUCUAAGGCACAAUGUAAUUUUAGGGCACAAUGCAAUUUCUAGGACUCAAUGCAAUUCUUGGGCUCAAUGUAAUUCUUGGACACAAAUCAAACUUCCAAAUGCAAUACAAUUUAUCGAGCAAAAUGUAAUUCUAAGGCUCAUUGCAAUUAUGGGGCACAUUGUAAACUUUUGGACAGAAUGCAAUUUUUUGGACAAAAUGCAAUUCUCAGGCUCAAUGCAAUUAUCAAGCUUAGUACGAUUUUUCGGGCUUAAGGAAUUCUCCGAAAUAUGAAAAUUCUCGAGCACAAUAAUAUUCUUGGGCACAAGACAUUUCUCAAAACGAUGUUAUAGUUGAGAAUAUAAGGUGGCUUAGACUAUCGUUUAUCAGAAGGACAAAGUGUCUCUUCCAUGGUGAUUGUCGGGCUCAAUAUUAUAGUUGUGAGUAUAAAGUAUCUUAGAUCUUCAUCUUAUUGGAAGGACAAAGUGUCAUUUUUUGGUGGUUGUCGGGCUCAAAAGAACAGUUGAGGGUAUAAAGUAGCUUUGACCUUUGUUUUAUUGGUAGAAUAGAGCGUUAUUUCAUGGAGAUUACUUGGAUGAUAUUGGAAUUGCUUCUUGCAUUUGUACCUGUCUUUUCUUUGUUCAAAGAAAAAUGUUAGUUUAUAAAAAGGGAGGUUGAUAUGUAUCUCUGUUUUGACCAGCACACUUCAGUUGUCCUUUACAUCUAGGCCUUAUUCGAAAAACAAAAAGCCUUGUAUUUUACCAACCAAAACGAAUUUAUUAGUAAUUGCAAGUAUGUUAUACCUGCUUUAGUCAUA